CAUAAAGUGCGUCGUAGUCCGGAUUGGAGUCUGCAACUCGACUCCAUGAAGUCGGAAUCGCUAGUAAUCGUGGAUCAGAAUGCCACGGUGAAUACGUUCCCGGGCCUUGUACACACCGCCCGUCACACCAUGGGAGUGGGUUGCAAAAGAAGUAGGUAGCUUAACCUUCGGGAGGGCGCUUACCACUUUGUGAUUCAUGACUGGGGUGAAGUCGUAACAAGGUAACCGUAGGGGAACCUGCGGUUGGA
rnacentral:rRNA from 3 species